CGGGAUAGCUCAGUUGGUUAGAGCGUCGGAUUCAUAACCCGGAGGUCUCGAGUUCAAUUCUCGAUCCCGCUA
rnacentral:tRNA from 1 species